GCUGGAAUAGCUCAGUUGGCUAGAGCGCGUGGCUCUUAACCACAAGGUUAGAGGGUGAACCUCUUUCUAGCG
rnacentral:tRNA from 1 species